rnacentral:lncRNA from 1 species
AUGUAUUCAUUUCUCAUCAUAGACUCAGACGUGCCUUUAAAAGAAAAGAAGGCGGUCUUCGACAAAGUCAUGCUCCUCCGUCGCCUGAAAGAGGAAGAUGGGAUUCUGCUGAAAGAGAUGCAACAGCAUUGGCAGUUUCUUUGCAGAACUUCUCGAAGACUGCAAGAAUUUAAAGGAAUGGGCUACCAGUCAGGACUUUCCCUGGAGGCUUAUGAGGGACUGCGCUGCAUUUUGCAAGGCCAAUUGGAGACGUUGAAGCGACAAAUGAGGGAGGUGAAGUCAGCCUACAUGCACGUAGUUGACUCUAGUGUCCUGCAGCUGGAGGAGGAAGAGUCUGAGGAAGACUUGCAGGAGGAGUCUAAUGGGGACGAUAGCGAUGAAGACGAAGACUUCUAACCAUCCAGCAUGUACUCAAGUCAUCAGUUAUUGUUAUUAGACACGGACACAGGGUGCAAGAGGACAGGGAGACGGUAAAAGAGAACAGGGAGACAGCGUGCAAGGGGUCAGGGUGCAAAGGGACACGGAGAAAGAGGACAGGGUGCAAGAGGACAGGGUACAGGGGGACAGGGUGCCUUGUUAUGUAAAGGUAAUCUUUGUAAAUAAAAUUGUUUCAAAAAUAUUUGGUGUAUCAUGUUUAAAGUAUGACAAUAUGCCAGAAGGGACACAGAAAGCAAUCCUAAAGGAAUCCCAUUUUGCUGCAGUUCAAUGUUGCCGCUGUAUACAGCAUUAUGUAAAAAGGUCAAUGUAUUUCUCAAACCUCGCUAAGAUCUGGCUACUUGCUUUCAGGUCAUCUGGUAAACUCAUCACUUAUUGUAAUGUAAUAUACCAUGGAAUGAUAUUUUUGUACCUAUACACAGGAUUGAUUUAACCAUUGUGCCAUCAUCCAAGAUGAGCUUUCACAUAAUUCAGAAAAUAGAAUGAUAAUGAAUCCCUGAAAAUGAAUAAACGUAAACGUUUGUUUAUAGGGGGGGGGGGUGUUCCAAAACCCGUACUGUCCGUACUUACUAGCCAAUUCACAUCCGGCGAAAAGAAGUAUACUUCAAGGACCCGGAUGCCGUACUCAAAACGGGCUAAUCGUGAAGUAUGGAUCGAAGGACACUCCCCGUACUCAACGGCAGCAAUCUUGGCCACGUAGCGGAAAAGGCUGAGCCAACGUCGGCGCAUUUUCCACAUAGCCUGCAUU